GUUCUGUGAAAAAUGCUAUUGGUAUUUUGAUAGGGUUUGCACUGAAUCUGUAGAUAGCUUUUGGAUAAUAUGGUCAUCUGAACAAUAUUAAUUCUGCAUAUCUUUUAUUUUAAUUUCUCAAGAUAAAUGAUAAUAAACAUCUACAGUAAGACUUGCAUUAAAAUGUUCAUAGACACUUCACUCAUCAGACCCCAAAAUGGAUAGAGUCCAGGUAUGCAUCAAGAAUGAGUAAACAAACUGCAGUACAUCUGUAACUUGGGAUAGUACUCAUCAAUACAAAGAGCAAACUACUGAUACAUGCAACAUUGAUGAAUCUCCAAAACAUAAUGACUCACACAGAAAAUGGAGUUCAGUGCUCCCACCAUCGGACUUUUUGUCUGACUCUAAAGCCUCUUUGAAUCCUCAGCAGCAGUAAGAGGAACAACCAUUUCUAGAGCUUGCUGAUCAGACUCCACCUCGUCCCUCAGCUUUGUGUUCUUGGGCUUCUGCUCAGGACCUGCCCUGCUCUCCAUGUUCCUCACUCCCUUCUUUGCACAUCUCCCACAUAGGCAGUGAGGACGGAUGGACAGUUAACUGGUUUUCUUCUGCUUCGUGCACAGCGAGCAGCCGGGGCCUUUGACGGGACACACAGCUGUGGCUUCCUCUCUCAGGGAGGGGAUCCACCACCGAGUAUGGCCGCCUGGCCUGCAAGAGAGGCCACAGGAAGAGCAGAGCGACCCCUCAUAGCCAGAGAAGUGUGCUUGGUGUGUGUGUGGGGGGACAAAGCCAAGAAGGAGGGGGGCAAAGUUCAACUCACAGAGAGGAAAGAAGUAACCAAGUCUGGGAGAGCAAAGGCAGAGUCCAGACUGGUCAAUGUGGCCAGGAACUUUGGGGCCAAGAGCAGAGUUCUGCAUCUCUUCUAGAAAGGUGAUUCUACAAGGGACGAUCUCUGUACCUUUUUCAACUCCCAGACAAUGUCUCCUUCUGAAUCUUUAAAACCAAAGCGAGAAGAGGAUCCUUGGAAUUACAGUUUCUGUCACAUUCACAGGAAUUCAAGCCUAACCACAGUGUGGGGGCACUGCAGUGAGAAAACGCUUUCCAGCUGCCCAACUGUACUUGGAGACCCAGUGGAGAAGCAAGUGCACUCACAAAGCUGCCAGUCUCCCUCCCAGCUGGACGGGUGCCAUUGGAAACAGAAGUGCGACUUUAUCACUUGACUUCAAGAAGAGGUUUCUCAGCAGCAGAUGGAGACAAUAUAUAAGACAGACCCCACUGAGGAAGCUCCCCUUUCAUGGUGGGGAGAGUGCUCCCCACUAGCCAGGCUUCCAUCGGGAGUAGGUGAAAGAAGAGGCAAAAGAGAGGCCAAGCCAAUAUUUUUUUUUUCCUGGUAGAAAACUUUGCUUGAUUUCUGCCUGAACUACGGUACAACAGAUGUGAACUUGAGUUGUCACCCUUAGCCAUGAAAAAGAGAUUAAAUCCAAGUAACAACCCCACAAACCAGCACCAACAAAACCAUUACUCACCAUGACAGCAGUCAUUCUUGGAACAUUCCCCCAAAGGCUUACUUAACUUGUACACAGACGAGCACCAAACUCCUUUUUUGGGGAGGGGGGAAUUUAACAGUACAAAAAAGCCUCUUUAAAAUCAGACAUUUGUUUUGAACUUUUGACAUUGAUUUUAGUUCUUGCAUUGAGAAGCGAGUAGUAUUUUGGGUGGGCAUUUUAGAAGACUGAAGUUUAGUUCACAGGAGUUAUCUGGGGGCUCCAAGUCCCAGGUAAUCUCAACAGAAGCAAAGCUAGGAAGCAGUCAGUUAAAAGUGUUUUAUUAAUGAUAAAUUUUCUUAAAAAAAAAAAAAAAAAGGUUAUAAGGACUACUGAACUCUGUAGGAGAACUCAUCACAGUCCUGGAGAGGCUUCUACCUUUUAUGUCUCACCAAAAUCAACAGAGCAUUUGUUUACUCUGGAAACUGAAGAGAGAGCCACCAUGUUUCAUAGAUGAUGGAUAUAACUUAUUGUUAGCUAUGGCAUGUGGAAACUUUCCUGACUUCAGAGUUUUUUGUAAGAAAAUCUGUGAUUAAAAACCUAACUAAGAAACAUUGAGAUUGCCAAUAUUUUUUAUCUUCAGUUAUAUGGAACUCUAGGAAUCUAAUCAAAUACAACUAGAGAUUGAGGACGUAGGAGAGAUAAAUGCUACAUUGGUUGAGUUGGUCUUACUUACAUCAGAACUCUUAACACUUUAGAAAUAAAUACUUUAAAGACAACUUUAGUUGUUACCAUACAAUUUUUAAAGACUGGUCUAUAGGGAUCUUCAUAUAACACUUUAUUAGCAGUGAGAGUUGUACAACAUUUUAAAGGCCCCAAAUUAGUAGACUGUUAAUUACAUUUCAGUGUAUACAUGCUAUCGAAUACAGUAGACACAUCAGAAAUAAUCAACAGAUGUACUAUAUAGACAUUCAAAGAUCAUGGAAAUGUACUCCAUACAUUGAUACCUUCAAAAAAUAGGCUAUAGUAUAUACCUGAGUUUGAGGCUAUUGGUAUAUAUACUUUCUUUUUUAUAAUCUUUGAUCCUCUGUUUUGUCCUGAUGUUCUUUAGAUAAUCCACAUUAUCUAAUACCCCCGUAAUAGUCAUAUAUUGCGUCUGUGAUAUGAUAAAAACAAUAUAUUCUGCUUCUAUUUUUUAAACUCUACUUUUUAUUGAGAUACAAUUGAUAUAUAAAAUAUUAGUUUCAGAUGUACAACAUAAAGGUUUGAUACAUGUAGCUAUCAUGAAAUGAUCAUGGAAAUAAGUCUAGUUAACAUCCUUCACCACACACAUAGUUACAAAUUGUUUUUCUUGUGAUGAGAAUUUUUGAAUCUGUUCUUA